AUUGAACGCUGGCGGCACGCCUAACACAUGCAAGUCGAACGGCAGCAUUUUUCUGUAGCAAUACAGAGAGAUGGCGAGUGGCGGACGGGUGAGUAACGCGUAGGAAUCUGCCUGAAAGAUGAGGAUAACUUGGGGAAACUCAAGCUAAUACUGAAUAAUCCCGAGAGGGAAAAGGUUGCGCAAGCAGCCGCUUUCAGAUGAGCCUGCGUUGGAUUAGCUAGUUGGUGGGGUAAAGGCCUACCAAGGCGAUGAUCCAUAGCUGUUCUGAGAGGAAGGACAGCCACACUGGAACUGAGACACGGUCCAGACUCCUACGGGAGGCAGCAGUGGGGAAUAUUGCACAAUGGGGGAAACCCUGAUGCAGCCAUGCCGCGUGUGUGAAGAAGG
rnacentral:rRNA from 1 species